UUUAGUGUCAUUAUUCACAGUGAAAUGAUUCAUCCAAUUACACAGGAUGAAAUCAUAGAAAUAUCUGAGCUACAAAAGUCCAAAAUUUGCGAGAAAAACAAAUUCUGAGUUUUAACUUGUAUAGCGUCAUUAUCAUACAAUCAUAGGGUGAAAUGUAUGACAGCAUUUUAGUGCCACUGGACAGAAGUUGAAAACUUUCAACAAUUUAAACCCAGAAAUAUCUUCCUUUUUCUAGAACAUUUUUUAAUCUCAACAUUUCUGACUUUUUUGGUGGAAAUUUACUCCAUUUUUCCAUCCAUCGCUAAUGACUCUAAUCCGCUAUCGCAGAAAUGUCACGCAGAGAGGAAGAAGUCAUUCCGAAAGCAAAAUAUACAAUACCAUAAUACAGUUUGCAAAUGCACACAGGGUAACAAAACUGACAAAACUAAAAGAAAAUGCUUGACUGUAAUAAAUUUGAAAAAGGAAAAGUGUGAAUGACACCAUCCCAACUGUGACGUAGGGUGUUAGCGGCAUAAUUGUUUAGAUUGCCGUUCAAUGCCACAAAAGAAAUUUUUGGCAAUACUUAAAAAAAAAUGAUGCUCUCAUAUCCAUCUAAUCUGACCAAGUUGAAGCUAUUUUGUCAAAAAGAAUCGGUAAAAAUAAUUAUGUGAAAGGCUGUGAAAAACAAACCCAAAAAGAAACUGUAGGAAAAUACUGAGCUGUAGAGGCUGAAAGCAUGCUACUCUACAGAUUUUUAGAUUUAAAGAAAUGUGAAAAUUAUGAAAUAAUUUCCUCCCCACUGUCAUGUAAAGACUAAUUAUUGAGGCCUGUGGUUGAUACAUGAUAAAUGUGUUUCAAAUACCAUUGGAAAGCUAAAAAUCUGUUGUCAUCUGAAGCAACUAAAAAGAAACUUUAAAAAUUUUACUACAGGAUGCAGAUGAAUCAGAAGCUGACAUCAGGGUGACUGCGUCUACUUUGUGAAAAAUUAAUGCAAAAAGCAUCAUGCUUUUCUGAAUAAUGAAUAGGGUUAAGAUUAAUUCAAAAGUGAAUUAAGUUACUAACAUCUGGAAACCUUUAUUCACGUUUCUUACCUUAAUCUGAUCCUCAGCAGUUUGUAUGUUAGUAAACCCAAAACAGUUCAGUUUGUCCUCUUUAUUGACAAUCAGUUCAUUGUAAAUGUAAGAGUCAAAAAGUCCACAGCUACAAACGCACAAUGUACAAACAUGUUACUGUACACCGAACAACAGCACACCCACACGGUAUAUUACAGCCACACGGACACAAAAAUGCACGUGUGCGCAUACUCCCAUUAUAUUACAGAGUUAUAAUACAUUAGAUUGUGACGCUCAAUAGACGAGCCGUCAACAAGUAGAACAGUAACUGUAGGUAAACAUAGAAAGGCAAAUUACAAUUACUUAUAACCAUUGUUUUUUUUUAAGAAAUUGUUCUUUACAGACAUAAGAAGUAUGGCAAGCAAGUAGAACAAAAAUACAUCAGCAUGAGAAAAUUUAGAAAUAGAACACAAAUUGAAAUGUGUAUAAGACAGAUUGAAUUUAACUUAAAUUUACAAAACAGCAAAGUAAUUCAAUAUUUUGUCAAAUUUAUUAUUGUGUUCACAGUUUAGAAAACAUUGUUCAUACCAAUAUUUAUUAUUACAGUUUUAGAAUAUUUUAGUGUGAUUAAUGCUCUACAGUCGUGCUGUGUCUUUGUGAAGCUGUACUAAAACUUAGAGGUUAUUAUUUUUAUCAUAUUGAGAUUGUGCCAUGAAGUACUAAUUAGUUAUAAACUUUUAUAUUUAUUGGAUGAAUAGGCAUGCUGGCAUUUUAAUUUGUUUUAAGCAAAAGAAAACAGUAAAAGAACGUGUUAAAACCUCACGAGGACAAAAUAGGAAUUACUGACCUUCUUGAGAGAUGUAUAAAUCAAAUUUAAUUUUCUUUUCUCAAACUCUGUAAAAACUCGGUCAAAACUCAGAGAAAAAAAUACUUUCUUUUGAUGAGGAUAAAGUCUUAAAAUCUGUAAAAUUAACAUUUUUGUUUGUGCUGUGAAUGAGUAAGUUUACUUUGAAUUUAGACAGGAAAUACACAAGGAGGAAAAGCAGGUUGGGAUUUUUUUCAGUUUUGACAUAAACACUUAAAAUCAAAAACAAAACUGAAAUACUGCAGGGGUUUCUGAUAAAACAAAACAAACAAAAAAAAAAGAUAUGUGCCAGUGUACCUCAGGAGAUACGUGUUCAAAAUGUUUUUUUUUUUUCUUUUAGAGAAGUUUUUUCUUUUUAGAAGACUCCAUCUAAAAUAGAAUGACUUCUUUUCCUCCCAACUGUUCAAAGCAGGCUGUGGGCAUGUGGACUGGAAGCAGAGUAAGCUAUUCAGAGACUGUGGGCAUUAGGAGAAGAAGGUGGAUGGGAAAGCACAGACAGAAAGACAAAAAAAGAAAGAGUAAUCUCUCCACACCCAGCCUCAUUUUUAUUCAAACAACUCGGGCUUUGACACUCUCUUCUCCUUCCCUCCCACCUCUUUCAAUCUCUCCUCAUCCUUGUCUCUUCUAUUCCCUUUUUCCAUUUUUUUCUUCACAUUGUAUCUAACCUUCUUUCAGUUCUAGUCUCACUUAAGUAGCUAAAACAACAGCCAGAACAGUCUAAUAAGCUAAGUACUUCAAAUAAAAAGUUAAAUCCAUCCAUAAGUAUUUAGAGCAGGCUGUUGUUUUGUAGCUUUUUUUAUUUUUGGGUAUGAGCUGUUGUUCCAUUUGGGGUUUUAUCUAAAAUAUCUGCAGCAAAUGUCAGGUUUAGCUGUCAGUCCAUCUGAAUCAUACAGGGAGGGCUUUUUGUCUACAGCUGCCAUUCAGGAAGGAACUGAGAGACUUUUUUCCUCACGGUCUCCGCUGACAGUAAUCCCAGCAUACAAGGAUGAAUUGCGGUUGCAUAAAAUGUUGACAUUUUACAAAGGAAAGGAGUUGUGGUCCUGCAAAAGAUAUCCAUAGUAACUGCUUAGUUCCUGCCCAUACUUACAGAGUAGCAAGUUCAGCAAAAGCUCCAUAGCCGCAGAGCUGUUACAUAAUUACAUCCUAUAUCACAAGCAGAGAAUCUCAUCUUCUGCUUUCAUCUUAAAACAAUAGAUGUGCUCUAAAUUCACGUCUCUGCACAUUUUUAUGAGAUAUUUCUCAUUUUUUUCUCCCCCUACAAACACAAACACACACGAGUGGUGUGAUUUACUUUCCUGCCAAUGCUUCAGCGUUAUUCCAGGUGGCAGUAACACGCCACAAAGCACAGCAAUGAAACGGCAAAGGGAGGGAGCACUGCUGGGAAAUUAAAGCAUCCAAUUGCCUGCGCAUACUCAAAGCAGUCACUAUGCAAAUCGUUUAUUACUCCACUAUUAUACUCAGAAGUAGUUCAUCAUGAAAACUCUACGUUUACCAAGAGUAGCGUCCACAAAGUAUCGGCCACCGAGUUUACCGUCUCAAAACGUUGCUCGUGUGUUUUGUCCUUAAUAUUCUCCUCCAGCUGAUCUCAUAUGCAAAGUGUGUCAUGCAGCAGCAGUUGAGUCAAACAUACAGCUUUGUAAUACUGAACUGAAGUGAUGCAGCAGAUGGUUUUUUACAAGGAGCCAUCUGGGAAGUCGGUGCUUGAAAGUAUUUGGAAAUCGGUUUACAAUUUUAAAAAAUACUUGCCAAGUGACGGAAUGAAACAACUGUCUUUUGAUUCUAUUAGGAGAAAAGUUCAACUUAUCUAAUUAGCAAACGAGUGAGCAGAAUUAUGAAUAAGAAAUCUUUCUUAACAAGACAAUGACUUCAAACAAAGUUUUGACAAACUGUUUAGAAAUUAUUCUGUUUUUUAGUAGAGGGUUUGAGACUCUUUCAUGAGCUACGUAGCAACUUUGUCAACAUGUUAAGCCCAUCUUGUGCCUCCUGUUUGUUCCUUUAAAAAAAUGCAAAAAUCCAGCAUGUUUUUCUGGUGCUAUUAAGGAGUUUUGGUAAGUCAUUACUGUUUCUACUCUUCUCAAAGAGAAACAGGCGCUCCCACAAGCCUAUAAGGGUAAAAACCACAUAACACAACAAAAUAAAAAACAC